AUUGAACGCUGGCGGCAGGCCUAACACAUGCCAGUCGAACGGAGCGGCGGACGUGUGAGUAAUGCCUAGGAAUCUGCCCGGUAUCGGGGGAUAACUUCCAGCAACGUUCGCUAAUCCCGCAUACUAUCAGAUGAGCCUAUCUCGGAUUAGCUAGUUGGUGGGGUAAAGGCCUACCACGGCGACGAUCCGUAACUGGUCUGAGAGGAUGAUCAGUCACACUGGAACUGAGACACGGUCCAGACUCCUACGGGAGGCAGCAGUGGGGAAUGUUGGACAAUGGGGGAAAGCCUGAUCCAGCCAUGCCGCGUGUGUGAAGAAGGCCUUCGGGUUGUAAAGCACUUUUGGUAGGAAGGCGUUACCAACAGAAUAAGCACCGGCUAACUACGUGCCAGCCGCCGCGGUAAUAC
rnacentral:rRNA from 1 species